rnacentral:rRNA from 1 species
AACGAACGCUGGCGGCAUGCCUAACACAUGCAAGUCGAACGAGACCUUCGGGUCUAGUGGCGCACGGGUGCGUAGCGCGUGGGAACCUGCCCUUAGGUUCGGAAUAACUCCCCGAAAGGGGUGCUAAUACCGGAUAAUGUCUUCGGACCAAAGAUUUAUCGCCUUUGGAUGGGCCCGCGUUGGAUUAGCUAGUUGGUAGGGUAAAAGCCUACCAAGGCGACGAUCCAUAGCUGGUCUGAGAGGAUGAUCAGCCACACUGGGACUGAGACACGGCCCAGACUCCUACGGGAGGAAGCAGUGGGGAAUAUUGGACAAUGGGCGAAAGCCUGAUCCAGCAAUGCCGCGUGAGUGAUGAAGGCCUUAGGGUUGUAAAGCUCUUUUACCCGGGAUGAUAAUGACAGUACCGGGAGAAUAAGCUCCGGCUAACUCCGUG